rnacentral:lncRNA from 1 species
AGGAUGAUCCAGAAUGUAAUUUGCCUAAUAUAACUCCUUCUUUGCUUAUAACUCCUUCAGGAGAGAAGUUUUAUCAGUUCUUGUUUUAUUUUUCGGUAUAUACUCUGAAGCAAAAAGCAAAAGCUAUAUCAAAAAAAGAUGACUUACUUCCUUUAUGGGUUAAUCUCUCAAAUGUGAAAAAAAAAUUUUCUUUGCAAAUUCAAAAGUCAUUGAUGUCUGUGGUUAUUAAUAGAAAAA